ensembl:lncRNA
GGGUAAGGUAAGGUAGGGUAAGGUAAGGCAGGGUAAGGUAAGGUAGGGUAAGGUAAGGUAGGGUAAGGUAGGGUAGGGUAGGGUAAGGUAUGGUAAGGUAAGGUAGGGUAGGGUAGGGUAGGGUAAGGUGAGCUGGGUAAGGUAAGGUAAGGUAAGGUAGGGUAGGGAAGGGCAAGGUAGGGUAGGGUAGGGUAAGGUAAGGUAAGGUAGGGUAGGGUAAGGUCGGGUAAGGUAAUGAAGGGUAUGGUAAGAGAGGGUAGGGAAGGUAAGGUAAGGUGGGGUAGGGUAAGGUAGGGUAAGGUCAGGUAAGGUGGGGUAGGGUAGGGUAAGGUAGGGUAAGGUAAGGCAGGGUAGGGUAGGUAACGUAAGGUAAGGUAAGGUA